UGGCUCAGAACGAACGCUGGCGGCGUGCUUAACACAUGCAAGUCGAGCGGAAAGGCCCUUCGGGGUACUCGAGCGGCGAACGGGUGAGUAACACGUGAGCAACCUGCCUCAGACUUUGGGAUAACCCUCGGAAACGGGGGCUAAUACCGGAUAUUAACCCCGUGGGGCAUCUUGUGGGGUGGAAAGCUUUUGCGGUCAGGGAUGGGCUCGCGGCCUAUCAGCUUGUUGGUGGGGUGAUGGCCUACCAAGGCUUGGGGGGGUAGCCGGCCUGAGAGGGCGACCGGCCACACUGGGACUGAGACACGGCCCAGGGUAAUACGGGAGGCAGCA
rnacentral:rRNA from 1 species